rnacentral:rRNA from 1 species
UACAGAGGGUGCAAGCGUUGUUCGGAAUUAUUGGGCCUAAAGCAUCCGUAGCCGGUUCUACAAGUCUUCCGUUAAAUCCAACUGCUUAACAGGUGGGCUGCGGAAGAUACUAUAGAGCUAGGAGGCGGGAGAGGCAAGCGGUACUCGAUGGGUAGGGGUAAAAUCCGUUGAUCCAUUGAAGGCCACCAGUGGCGAAGGCGGCUUGCCAGAACGCGCUCGACGGUGAGGGAUGAAAGCUGGGGGAGCAAACCGG